rnacentral:rRNA from 1 species
UACGAAGGGGGCUAGCGUUGUUCGGAAUCACUGGGCGUAAAGCGCACGUAGGCGGAUCUUUAAGUCAGGGGUGAAAUCCCGAGGCUCAACCUCGGAACUGCCUUUGAUACUGGGGAUCUCGAGUCCGGGAGAGGUGAGUGGAACUGCGAGUGUAGAGGUGAAAUUCGUAGAUAUUCGCAAGAACACCAGUGGCGAAGGCGGCUCACUGGCCCGGAACUGACGCUGAGGUGCGAAAGCGUGGGGAGCAAACAGGGAUUAAGAAACCCUGGGUACGUC